GUGUCAUCUGUGAGGCAGCACAAGUGCUAAAACAACAGGUUUAGAAGAAGGUCAAGAUAAUUAAAAGGGGUGCCUGAAAUACAGUAUAAAAUGGAAUUGCCAGCUUGUACAUCUGUACUUAGAAUUCUCAGAAUCAAUAAUAAUGCAAUUAAAACAAGUUGGUGGUUUUGUACUGCUGUUUAUUGCUGUUGGAUUGGUCGACGCAUAAUGGUCAAGACUGUGGAAGAUUCAAGCUACUUCAGGAGCACCACUUGUGUAGCUUGAAAGGCAUUUUGAUCCUUUUCCUACUUUGAGUGUAACAGCAGAGUGCAAUGAGACUACAGUGUAUGUGGCCAGUAAAGAAAAAUCUGUUUGGUAAUGGUAAACCCAUCAAUAUGGCUGCUCUCACCCUGGGAGGCUGUGCUGCUAAAGGGGAAAAUGCUGCUUCUCAAGUCCUUAUCUACUGCAAUAGCAAGUUUUCUGUGAACGAGGAUGAACUGGCCUUUGUCUUUGCCCUUGGUUUUGCUUCAGAGCCUUUAAGUGGUACUCCCAUUUCAAUUCACUAUCCAAGGGUACCAGCUGGCAACACAAGUAACCCUUGGUCCAAUCAUGGUUGAG
ensembl:lncRNA